AUUGAACGCUGGCGGAAUGCUUUACACAUGCAAGUCGAACGGUAGAGGGGGCAACCCCUCGAGAGUGGCGAACGGGUGAGUAAUAUAUCGGAACGUGCCCAGUCGUGGGGGAUAACGUAGCGAAAGUUACGCUAAUACCGCAUACGAUCUAAGGAUGAAAGCGGGGGAUCGCAAGACCUCGCGCGAUUGGAGCGGCCGAUAUCAGAUUAGGUAGUUGGUGGGGUAAAGGCUCACCAAGCCAACGAUCUGUAGCUGGUCUGAGAGGACGACCAGCAACACUGGAACGGAGACACGGUCCAGACUCCUACGGGAGGCAGCAGUGGGGAAUUUUGGACAAUGGACGCAAGUCUGAUCCAGCCAUUCCGCGUGCAGGAUGAAGGCCCUCGGGUUGUAAACUGCUUUUGUACGGAACGAAAAGGUCUCUCUUAAUACGGGGGACUCAUGACGGUACCGUAAGAAUAAGCACCGGCUAACUACGUGCCAGCAGCCGCCGUAAGAC
rnacentral:rRNA from 1 species